UUCGCAUGGAGCAGUGUGAAAAGCGUAAACGGUAUACGAUGGACCCGCGUCUGAUUAGCUAGUUGGCGGGGUAGAGGCCCACCAAGGCGACGAUCAGUAGCCGGCCUGAGAGGGUGACCGGCCACAUUGGGACUGAGACACGGCCCAAACUCCUACGGGAGGCAGCAGUGGGGAAUAUUGCACAAUGGGGGGAACCCUGAUGCAGCGACGCCGCGUGAGUGAAGAAGUAUUUCGGUAUGUAAAGCUCUAUCAGCAGGGAAGAAAAUGACGGUACCUGACUAAGAAGCCCCGGCUAACUACGUGCCAGCAGCCGCGGUAAUACGUAGGGGGCAAGCGUUAUCCGGAUUUACUGGGUGUAAAGGGAGCGUAGACGGUUAUGCAAGUCUGAAGUGAAAGCCCAAGGCUCAACCAUGGGACUGCUUUGGAAACUGUAAAACUGGAGUGCAGGAGAGGUAAGCGGAAUUCCUAGUGUAGCGGUGAAAUGCGUGGAUAUUAGGAGGAACACCAGUGGCGAAGGCGGCUUACUGGACUGUAACUGACGUUGAGGCUCGAAGGCGUGGGGAGCAAACAGGAUUAGAUACCCUGGUAGUCCACGCGGUAAACGAUGAUCACUAGGUGUCGGUGGGUAGAGACCCAUCGGUGCCGCCGCAAACGC
rnacentral:rRNA from 1 species